rnacentral:misc_RNA from 1 species
GGAAGGAUCAUUACCACGUUCCAAACGUAUCAACCAAUGUGAACUCCUUUUAACUCUCCCAACCGUGAAGUGAAUGAGCUGAAUCGUAUGAGUGCGUGUGCGGGGUCCUUAGCUGACCAGCGAGUACGAAACAACUUACGGCGCGAAAGCAUCGUAGACGGCUGUAUCACAUGGCGGGUGGCUUUUCCUUACUACCUUGGUCUCUGCACCGAUUGCGGGUAGUCUGGAGCACAAACAUUAACGAUAAUAACCGCAUUUUGCUAGUUGACUUAUUUCUGUUUGUCCUUGCUUCGGCAUGGCGGACGCGUUUUUAAUUAGACAAAAUUACAACUCUUAGCAAUGGAUAUCUAGGUUCUCGCAACGAUGAAGAACGCAGCGAAAUGCGAUACGUAAUGCGAAUUGCAGAAUUCAGUGAAUCAUCAAAUCUUUGAACGCAAAUUGCGCUCUUGGGUAGCCCUAGGAGCACGCCUCUCUCAGUAUCGGUUCAACCCGUCCUCAGCAACGUGCAUGGUGCUUCGGCUCUAUGCGCGUGUUCGCUGGAGAAUGAGAGUCUGUGAGCUUGGCCUCGCAGUCUCUUUAAAUGCAUGGAGUGGAAGAUAACUCUUCGGUCAGCUUCGGCGCUUCGGCGUCGGAUUACACAGGUUUAACUGUGGCUGCGCGAGUGACGUGAAUAUUGGCCCUCGGGUCUCCCUUUACGUGUGUCUCGUGUACGCUGCAAUAAAAGUUGGCUUGUGGACAGGAGCGAUAGAGUAGACUUUUCACGUGAGAAAACCAUAUGGUGACUACUUUUUAUUAAGUAGGAGCCUGACAUUUGAUCUGAGAUGAAGCGAGACAACCCCCUGAAUUUAAGCAUAUUAAUAAGGGGAGGAAAAGAAACUAACAAGGAUUCCCCCAGUAACGGCGAGUGAAGCGGGAAGAGCUCAAUUUGAAAAUCGAUUUCCUAAACGGGACAUCGAGUUGUAGCCUAGAGACGUACUAUCAGCUGAAACCUGGGUAUAAGUUCUUUGGAAUGAGGCCGCAUAGAGGGUGAGACGCCCGUAUACGACCCAAAGCUUUCAGCGUACGAUGUAUGUUCAUCGAGUCGAGUUGUUUGGGAUUGCAGCUCUAAAUGGGAGGUAAGAAUCUUCUAAAGCUAAAUAUUGGCGAGAGACCGAUAGCGAACAAGUACCGUGAGGGAAAGAUGAAAAGAACUUUGAAAAGAGAGUUAAAAGUACUUGAAAUUGCUAAGAGGGAAGCGCUGGAAACCAGUCCUAUGUCGUGUCAAUCGCUUUCGGCCCCACUAGUGCGCGCGUGUAAUUGGAAACUUUGCUAGCGCGUACGAAAGGGAGGUCGGAGGUUUAUGAUGCGGCGUGAGUCAAGAUCAAUUCGGGAUGGGGGAGAAGGUGGCGGGAAAGGUAGGAGAGCAAUCUCUGUUAUAUUCCUGUUACUCUACCUCGCCCUGGAUUGAGGAAGUAAUGGUGCGCCGCUUGCGGCUUGGUCCGGCGUCUCUAGUGUCCCACUGGCUCUGCUAGCAAUGCUAUCUCUGUCGGGAAAGGCUCUACUGGGCGUCGUGAUUCUAUGUGCCAUCACGAUCUUGUACGAAAUGGUUUUCAUCGACCCGUCUUGAAACACGGACCAAGGAGUAACUUUAUGCUCCUUAAGAGUGCUUGCUUCAGAAGAGAAGCAAACACUAGUGCACGAGUGCACGAAAUCAGUGAAUUGCGGGGACCGGCGCUGGAGGACUCUACUAAGUUAUCCUUUUUUAACAUGAAGGAUGGCGGACCUGCUGAGAAGUGGGUGUGUAGUGACAAAGAGUCCUUUGUAUGUCAGAUCCGCAGCUAAAGCGUAAUAUAUAUAUUAUUUAUAUAUUUCGCUGAAGUUCAGAGACUAAGUACUGAUUGGGCCGCACGUGUGUGCGUUCUUAAGAUAUAGUCCUCCUGCUGCAACUAAGAAUUGCGAUUGGGAGUCUAACAUCUACGCGAGUGUUUUGGUGCAAAACCAUGACGCGAAAUGAAAGUAAAGGUAGUUUCGGCUGCUGAGGUAGGAAUCCCGCAAGGGAGGCACUAUCGACCGAUCAUCACUUGUGAAAGAUUUGAGUAAGAGCGUAUCUGUUGGGACCCGAAAGAUGGUGAUCUAUGCCUGAACAGGGUGAAGCCAGGGGAAACUCUGGUGGAGGCUCGUAGCGAUACUGACGUGCAAAUCGUUCGUCUGAUUUGGGUAUAGGGGCGAAAGACUAAUCGAACCAUCUAGUAGCUGGUUCCCUC